UGUGUUAUUAAUCAAUUAGGUCUCUCAUAUUUUUAAUCAGUGAAAUGUAUUAACCCUCAUUUUAUUAUCUUACUGCAAGAUCCUGCCAUCCCCUCAAUUUUAUAAUAUAUUUUAUUACAAACAGAAAUUAUAAAAAAAGCUUUACCUGGGGGUGAAAAAAAGACAUGACACUUACCUAGAGGUAUGUAUACCACACAUAUACAUAAACAGCAGGCAUUACAAUCUGCACAGUUGUUUAUUAACCUGACAUGUUGUAUUUUUUGUUUUUAACUGUAUCCACAACAUCCUUUCUAUCCCGGGAUACAGACCUGAGGAGAAGCAGUCUGUGUGGGAUGAAGCUAUGGAGCACCUUAAGGAGAGCUACUUGCUGUUCCAGUUUUUGAAGUGUCUUCUGGACCCCCGAUUACUUGGAAACACAACCUACAUGAGCCCUUGGCAUACUUGCUGGAAAAGAAAGGAGAUGUGCAUGGAGCUUUUCUGGUCCUGCUAAAGACUUUGAAGCACAAUUUGUCAUUGCUCACUGAUGGCAAUGAAGCUGUCAGUAAUGAAAUGGACCCCAUGCGACGUGUUGAGAUUGCUUUGGAGAACACCAUUGCCCUGUGCCAGCGGUGUUCUAACUGCCUGAACCAGCAGCAGAGAGAGGCUCUUUGGUUCCCAUUACUGGAGGCGAUGAUGUCACCACACCUCGGAAUAUGACAAUGCAGGUUCUGAACAGUAUGACGGGAUUCAUUGCAUUGCCUUCAGUUAUACAACGCAC